UACGGGGGGGGCAAGCGUUGUUCGGAAUUACUGGGCGUAAAGGGCUCGUAGGUGGCCAACUAAGUCAGACGUGAAAUCCCUCAGCUUAACUGGGGAACUGCGUCUGAUACUGGAUGGCUUGAGUUUGGGAGAGGGAUGCGGAAUUCCAGGUGUAGCGGUGAAAUGCGUAGAUAUCUGGAGGAACACCGAUGGCGAAGGCGGGUCUCUGGGCCGAUACUGACGCUGAGGAGCGAAAGCGUGGGGAGCGAACAGG
rnacentral:rRNA from 1 species